UGUCCAGUAGCACCUUAUAGACCAACUAAGUUUGUUCUGGAAUAAGCUUUCAUGUGCAUUCAUACUUCUUCAGAUACCUGAAAGCUUAUACUAGAACAAACUUAGUUGGUCUGGGGUGCUACUGGACA